rnacentral:rRNA from 1 species
AUUGAACGCUGGCGGCAUGCCUUACACAUGCAAGUCGAACGGUAACAGGUCUUCGGAUGCUGACGAGUGGCGAACGGGUGAGUAAUACAUCGGAACGUGCCUAGUAGUGGGGGAUAACUACUCGAAAGAGUGGCUAAUACCGCAUGAGAUCUACGGAUGAAAGCAGGGGAUCGCAAGACCUUGUGCUACUAGAGCGGCCGAUGGCAGAUUAGGUAGUUGGUGGGAUAAAAGCUUACCAAGCCGACGAUCUGUAGCUGGUUUGAGAGGACGAUCAGCCACACUGGGACUGAGACACGGCCCAGAAUCCUACGGGAGGCAGCAGUGGGGAAUUUUGGACAAUGGGCGCAAGCCUGAUCCAGCAAUGCCGCGUGCAGGAUGAAGGCCUUCGGGUUGUAAACUGCUUUUGUACGGAACGAAAAGCCCUGGGUUAAUACCCUGGGGUCAUGACGGUACCGUAAGAAUAAGCACCGGCUAACUACGUGCCAGCCGCCGCGGUAAAAC